UGCCAUGAUGGUGUAAUUUGCGUCUGACCCUGUGAACAGUUGACAGUUGCCUGCUGUCUCAAAGCUGUCACAGGGUGGUGAUGUGCGUUUAAAUCUGAGCA